rnacentral:tRNA from 1 species
GGGCGUGUAGCUCAAUUGGUUAGAGUACUUCCUUGACAUGGAAGGGGUAGUAGGUUCGAAUCCUACCACGCCCA